ACGGGCAACAUUUUUUUUAUUUAUUAUCAGUAGUGUAGCGAUGUAUUAAGCUCACACAGAAAACGGUUUCAAACCAAAUUUUCGCCACUUUCUUUUGCUCAAAGCGGCGAAUCCUGUGGACUUGGAUUUCGCCCGCGAAAACUCGCUGAAGAGCGGUAAAUGUGACCGCAAUGCUGUUAUCUUCACAAUCUGUAAAUGUUCACACUCACUCAUCUAGACUGGGUCUUUAUAUGUUGAACCGCUACUUUUGUAUAUGUUUGGUAUAUGUUUUUUUUUUCUGUUUUCUUUUCUUUAUAGUUCAGGGCAGUGCCUUUAAUAAGUGAAAUCUAGCCUAUUAAUAUACAGUGCACAACCAAGCAUUCCUUCAAUGUUGACACCUGCUUGUAAGCAUUAAACAAAAAUGCCUUGU